AUGCACGCUGGCGGCGUGCCUCAUCCCUGCCGGUCGCGCGAACGGACGAGAAGCUUGCUUCUCUGAUGUUAGCGGCGGACGGGUGAGUAACACGUGGAUAACCUACCUAUAAGACUGGGAUAACUUCGGGAAACCGGAGCUAAUACCGGAUAAUAUUUUGAACCGCAUGGUUCAAAAGUGAAAGACGGUCUUGCUGUCACUUAUAGAUGGAUCCGCGCUGCAUUAGCUAGUUGGUAAGGUAACGGCUUACCAAGGCAACGAUGCAUAGCCGACCUGAGAGGGUGAUCGGCCACACUGGAACUGAGACACGGUCCAGACUCCUACGGGAGGCAGCAGUAGGGAAUCUUCCGCAAUGGGCGAAAGCCUGACGGAGCAACGCCGCGUGAGUGAUGAAGGUCUUCGGAUCGUAAAACUCUGUUAUUAGGGAAGAACAUAUGUGUAAGUAACUGUGCACAUCUUGACGGUACCUAAUCAGAAAGCCACGGCUAACUACGUG
rnacentral:rRNA from 1 species